CAAUUGUUUAAUGAUAAGUUUACAACAGUGUAUUUGAUAUUUAAGAAUGUAUCGUCUAUUUCUAAAGUUUAGUAAAUAUCGGAUGUAAAAUAUGAGUUAAGAUUAUUAGUGCAAUUAAUGAGAGCUCGUCUUAAUAUAGUUGUAAGGAUAUCGAUAUAGGAAAGGUCAAGAAAAAUCCAAGGACAAGAAAGAAUAAAUUCUGUGCAGUUAAAUUAGUGUGCUAGUUAAAUUGUGAGAAGGCAAUCAGUAGAAGAGACAUCACGGGAAUAUGAAGAUCAGGUAUGCUUUGAGCUCUAUAUAUUUAUGUAUUUGAAUUCUAGUUCAUUGAAUUUUGAGGACGAAAUUCUUUUAAUGAGGCAAGAUUGUUACAACUCAUUAUAAUAAGUCAAAACUCAAAAGUUGAAUUGUCAAAGUCAAAGUCAAAGUCAAAAGGGACUAAAAUGAAAUAAUUCAUUUUAAUUGGGACUUAAUUUAUUGUGACGAAUAUUUUGAAGGUUUAAGUUGGACAACAUAAAAAAUUUGGGAUCUAAUUAUAUAUUUUGGAAGUUUAGGAUUUAACUUUAUAUUAUAUUAUAGAAGAGGGACUUCCUUUGCAAUUUAAGUUAGUGUCCCCUUUAUUUUAUUACCAUUAAACCCAUUUUACACUAAAAACACACACAUGCACACAGUAGAAUUCGGGCAGAAGCUGGGAAGGAGGAAAAAUGGGGAAGGAAAGGAAGAAAAAAAGGGAAAAGAAAAAAAAAAGGGGGAAGAUAAGUUAAGUCCUCGAUUUUCUCCUCAAUUUUUCAAGAAAGCAGACGAAUUGAGCAGCUUUGGAGCCUGUCGAAGCACCGAAUUGAGUCACGCGCCAUAGGUUAUAUGACAUCAUUUAUGAGAUUAUACAUUAUGUGUUCUUAUGGGAUACAUAUAGUUUAAAUCAGAAAAGUUCAUCAUGGACUCAUUAAAUAUUUGGUAUCUUUAGUAUAUUUGAGGAUUGUUGGUUGUAAAGCAAGUGAAUAUUGAUUUUCCAGCAUUUUAUUUGAAUAGGCUGUAUUUCGAGGGGCUGGCGUACCCUGAUUUAUAUUAUAGGUAUUGAUUUGAGGAAAA